rnacentral:rRNA from 1 species
UACAGAGGGGGCAAGCGUUAUUCGGAAUUAUUGGGCGUAAAGGGCGCGUAGGCGGCUUGGCAAGUGGAAGGUGAAAUCCCUCGGCUUAACCGAGGAACUGCCCUCCAAACUGCUUUGCUUGAGGCCGGGAGAGGCGAGUGGAAUUCCCAGUGUAGCGGUGAAAUGCGUAGAUAUUGGGAGGAACACCAAUGGCGAAGGCAGCUCACUGGGACGGUAUUGACGCUGAGACGCGAAAGCGUGGGGAGCGAACAGG